rnacentral:rRNA from 1 species
CCGCACGGGUGAGUAACGCGUAUGCAACUUACCUAUCAGGAGGGGAUAACCCGGCGAAAGUCGGACUAAUACCGCAUAAAGCAGGGAUCCCGCAUGGGAAUAUUUGCUAAAGAUUCAUCGCUGAUAGAUAGGCAUGCGUUCCAUUAGGCAGUUGGCGGGGUAACGGCCCACCAAACUGACGAUGGAUAGGGGUUCUGAGAGGAAGGUCCCCCACAUUGGUACUGAGACACGGACCAA